rnacentral:lncRNA from 1 species
GCUUUCCCAAAUGGGGCAGAAGGCCCAGCUUGCCCACCCACACCGGGGAUCCCGUCACCGUGAGCAGGUCACGCUCUGAGCCUGCUCUUUGCAAAAAGCCAACCCUUCCCGUGCCACAAAAGAAGGAUCGCUACAGACCCCAACCCGCGGCAUCUCCCCGCCGCAGCAGCGGGCGUUUUAAACAAAUCCCUGCCUGACUGAGAGAAGGGAGGAGGGGGGAUAAAAAAAAAAGGGUUCCUCGGGUUUUAUCCAUUUUGCAUGCACAUAAAAGACGAACUUCCCUUUGGAAACAAAACGCACAGAGUUGCGGUUUGAAAGGGGCCUCAAUUUGGCUUCGAGCGGGUGCAACUAAUUGCAGUUGCGAGCGCCGGCAGGUGCGAGCAGGCAGCUGAGGAGCCUCCUCCCCCCAGCCCUGCCUGCCCCCGGCACAGGGCAUGGCCGGAGAUGCGAGGGAUGGCACCGCAGGGGCAACCGAGUGUUUGCCACAUCCACUCCGCUCCUGCAUUUCUGCCACGGCUCUGUUCAACGUCAGCACGGCUGGAGAAGUGCACGUGAAGAUCAGCAACACAGGAUUGGCCUCCAGCAGCUGCUGCCCCAGACCUGCUGCUGCUCCAAGUCCUGGAGCAGAGCAAGGGUGAAGGAUCUCGUGUCAGCUUCAGCUGUGCUGGUGUGGGAGGUUUUCCCAGUACCUGGGCUGCAAGGGCUGUUGUGGUGUCCUCAAAGACAGGAAUGGCUGCAGACACAAGGCACCGCACACAGCUGCAUCACCUCCUCAAACUGAGCCAGCCCAGAACGGUGUUUUGCAUUUUUCAGUGUUCAUUUUAAUUAAAAUCUUCCAAAACCAUUAGUCAGCUGUGACAUUCAUUCUAUUUCUGCUAUUUUUUAAAAAACACAGGGCGGGGGGAAUUUCAACCCUGGAGGACAGUCUACAUCGACCUGCAAAAUCACACUAAUACUUUUCAAAAAUAUUGCUCUCAACACUUUUCUUGCCUGAGAGAUAAUAGCAGUUUCACUUGGCUGCUGGAGGUGGGACUCAGCUAUUCUUUAAAACUGGUUUGCAUAAAGCAGUUUCACAAACUACGGUAAAAAGAAGCUAACCCUGUUUGCAUUAUCACCUUUGUCACAGAGAUUGUGAUUUGCUCCAGAGCAUUAGAGAGAUAGUAAGACAUUUUUUCCUCUUGCCAGCUCAGGCUAGACCUGAGAUUUGUACCACAGACUUUGGUUGCAAAGCCAGUGCUGGAAAACUUCAGUCCUGAGAACAGCUUGCUCAGCCACACCAGGGGCUUGUCCACAAGAAGAGGCUGCCAUUGCCAUGGGUAGGUAAAACCAGUUUGGCUGGCAAAGGCUCCCAGAUGAAAAUGCAUCCUGCACUGUUCCAGCAGCUGUUACCUUUUCUCCAAAAGGAAGAAAGGCGGAAAAUAUUCCACCUGGAAUAUUUUGCAGUCAAUGUUCCGGAAGAGGUCUGGCACAGCCACAGCCCCAGGAACACUGUGAGCCCUACUACAACACCAAAGAUCCUCAGCUGCUCUCUGG